AUUUACCAAGCCCUGGAGUCUGGCCCAUUUUCCCUGAAAAAAUGGCAGGCAUUUUGUUUUUUUUGGGCUCCACGAUGCCACCCAUUUUCUUUUUUUCCUUCCAAAAGGGUGGUCUGUGUCAAUUAUUACAAUUGUCAGCAAAGAAUCUUGAGAAAUUUACUUCAAGAGAAUAUUGCUGUUGCACAGAGUUUGAUCUUCUAUCUUCUCUUACUCUCUAAAUAUACAACUUAAUUAGAUGAUUUCUGGUUUGUUAAAUAUUGAAUUUGAGGAAAUUAAUGGCCAUUAUUAGCAAAGUUUAAGUAAUUUAUUGAUUACUUGAUAGGGAGAUGAUAGCAUCAUUUGAAUGCGAAACUUUUGGGAUUUGAUCACUGGUCACUCCAAUCACUUUUGUCAGGGACGAUGCCGAAAAUCAAUCUUCCAGGGACAAUGUCGAAACUCGUCCAAGUUGAAGCCGCUGAUGUUUGCGUGAUUAAGGUUUCCGCAGCAACGAAGAGGAAGACGCAACUGGGUUAAGAGAACGAAGAGGAAGGAAGAAGCAAGGUUCUGUUUUUUUAACUUUAUACAAGCCCAAAUGAUAUCGUUUCACAGCAAAGCAGGAAAAAAAAUAAAAGU
rnacentral:lncRNA from 1 species